AUGGCGAUUCUCAUGUUCUCUGGAUUCUGUGCCUCUGCCAGCGUGACGAUUUUCUUCAUGAAGGAUAUGAACUUCUGCACGGAAUACCGGCGUCUAGACUGCAGUCAGUUCACACUUUCAGUCACUCUGGCGUUCUUUACAUGGUUGUUGCAAGCUGCGUCUUCUUUCUCCGGGUUCUGGCUACUGGUUUCCUUCUUCUAG
rnacentral:rRNA from 1 species